ACCCGCUGAACUUAAGCAUAUCA
rnacentral:rRNA from 1 species